GGAGAAAGUGGGGCGAGAAGAGGGCGUAAUACGGAUGGUGCUGGCGUUAAUCGGAUUUACUGGGGGGAAAGCGUGGGUAGGCGGCUUUUUAAGUCGGAUGGGAAUUCCCCGAGCUUAACUUGGGAAUUGCAGUGGAUACUGGGAAGCUAGAGGAUGGGGUAGGAUGGUAGAAUUCCAGGUGUAGCGGUGAAAUGCGUAGAGAUCUGGAGGAAUACCGGUGGCGAAGGCGGCCCCCUGGACAAAGACUGACGCUCAGGUGCGAAAGCGUGGGGAGCAAACAGGAUUAGAUACCCUAGAGUC
rnacentral:rRNA from 1 species